AAAAAGUUAAUUUAAUAUAAAAUAUUAACUUGUCAAGUUAAAAAUAUCAACUAGAUACUUUUUA
rnacentral:tRNA from 1 species